GUUGGAGGACGCGACUGUUGAGGACAUCCAGAAGUAUCUGAAGAAACAGAGGCUUGAGGCCAUCGACUGGUUGGAGGACAACAGGGACAACAUGAAGCAGGGAGUUGAUGACUUUGUGGACAAGGCCCUGGCAGAUCUGGCCAAAGAACCUACUGCUGAGGAAAUAGCUGCUCUGGAGAAGGAUCUGGAGAACUUCGAUGCGGCAGCUUUCAAGGAGAAACAGUCCAAGAGCAAGCAGGUG